rnacentral:rRNA from 1 species
AACGAACGCUGACGGCAGGCUUAACACAUGCAAGUCGAACGCAUCGCAAGAUGAGUGGCAGACGGGUGAGUAACGCGUGGGAACAUACCCUUUUCUACGGAAUAGCUCUGGGAAACUGGAAUUAAUACCGUAUACGCCCUACGGGGGAAAGAUUUAUCGGGGAAGGAUUGGCCCGCGUUGGAUUAGCUAGUUGGAGGGGUAAAGGCCUACCAAGGCGACGAUCCAUAGCUGGUCUGGGAGGAUGAUCAGCCACAUUGGGACUGAGACACGGCCCAAACUCCUACGGGAGGCAGCAGUGGGGAAUAUUGGACAAUGGGCGCAAGCCUGAUCCAGCCAUGCCGCGUGAGUGAUGAAGGCCUUAGGGUUGUAAAGCUCUUUCACCGGUGAAGAUAAUGACGGUAGUCGGAGAAGAAGCCCCGGCUAACUUCGUGCCAGCCGCCGCAGUAAGAC